GACGAACGCUGGCGGCGUGCCUAAUACAUGCAGGUCGAGCGAAGUUUUUCUGGUGCUUGCACUAGAAAAACUUAGCGGCGAACGGGUGAGUAACACGUAAAGAACCUGCCUCAUAGACUGGGACAACUAUUGGAAACGAUAGCUAAUACCGGAUAACAGCAUUAACUGCAUGGUUGAUGUUUAAAAGUUGGUUUUGCUAACACUAUGAGAUGGCUUUGCGGUGCAUUAGCUAGUUGGUGGGGUAAAGGCCUACCAAGGCGACGAUGCAUAGCCGACCUGAGAGGGUGAUCGGCCACACUGGGACUGAGACACGGCCCAGACUCCUACGGGAGGCAGCAGUAGGGAAUCUUCCGCAAUGGGCGAAAGCCUGACGGAGCAACGCCGCGUGAGUGAAGAAGGAUUUCGGUCCGUAAAGCUCUGUUGUUAGGGAAGAAUGAUUGUGUAGUAACUAUACACAGUAGAGACG
rnacentral:rRNA from 1 species